UCGGCGCAAACACUGUUCUUCUUCUCCAAACAACAGAAUUCGUUCCCAAAAAUCGCCAAAAUUCAGGCGAGUGAAACCCAAACUCGCAUCACGCGUUUUAUUUUCUUUCCUCUUGCCAUAGCGUAAUUGUUUCUGACAAAUUCCCCCUCCCUCACAUGCUCUCUUUGAUUUUAGUUCAGAUUUUUCGCUCUUCAGAUGAAAAAAGGAAAAAUGGGGAGCGUUAGAUUGGAUUCGAGCUAAUAUACUCCCUCCAUUUGUCCCUCUUUCAUCAGAAACGGGGUAAGAAAUCAGUUUGGGGGAGGAUUUUUCAUUUUGGGGGGUUUUCGUGGAGAGAAAGGAAGAAGAUUCGAGAAGACCUGAAGGUCUAUAAAAUGUGAGAACGUUUUCUUAUUCUGGGGAUUUUUUUUGAAGAAUAUUUGGGGAAACGAUUUGAGAGAGAUUUCGGAAGAAAGUUAAAAUUAGGGUUUGAGAUUUUUGUUCUUCAUUUUUUUAUUGUUCUUUUAUUUCUGGUACUAGAAUAGAAGAAAAAAAAAUCACUAAAUGUUCUGCUAUUUCAUUUCUAUGUCGAUUAUUGUUUAAAUUUUUUUGAAAUCUCUAGAGUCCAUCUUCUUCAUUUCGAUUAUGGAUUUUGGUUUAAAAGUGGAAGUCAUUUGAGAAGUUCGAGUCUGUUGCUGCUCGAGGGUUGAUUUUCAGCUGCUAUUUGCUUCCUUUGGGUCGAUUUCAGGGUUGUAUUAAUUCAGUCUCUUAAUUCCAGCUUCUUCCAUGAUUUCACAUGUGUGCUAACGCAUGUCCAUAUAAUCCUCUGGCCUCAGAAUUGGUUGGUUGCCAGUCGAAUAAGUUUAAAUGGCUCGUGUAUUUGUGAAGUUCAUGCUUGUUUGUGUACCAGGUGCCAAUCAGUCGAGUUACGAGUAGUUUUGUUCAUGCCUUAAUGCUGAAAAUGUACAGACUAUCUUGACACUAGAUUUCCAAUCAGUUUGCAUUCUCUGUUUACUGGUUCCUAUUCCCAGUGAUUUGUUUUCACCUUUAAAUAAGAUUGGAUUAUCUCAGCUCUAAAA